UACUAAUGAUAAAUAUAUUUUUGAUAAAUGUAGUGAUCUUCACACAAACACCAAUAAAUAUAUUUACAUUACUAUUAUUUUUAUGGAACUUUUUUAAUAUCCUAAUAUUUUUUAACAACAGAAAAAUCAAUUAUUUUGAUCCAUUUAAUGUAUUGUUGGCUAUUGCUAAUGCUACAAAUAUAACCUACAUGUGCUACUUAUGAGUUUACUUAUGUUUUGUGGCCCAGGGUCAAAUGUGACACGGAUAUAUUAUAAAAGACCAACUUUGGCCUGCGUGCCCUAGUUUCGGCACCUCUGGACUAGAAGUACAGUAGCUGACAGGUAUCUGCAGAUAUUUUUACCCCCCCCCCCCCCCCCCCCCCCCCCCCCCCCCCCCCCCCCCCCCCCCCCCCCCCCCCCCCCCCCCCCCCCCCCCCCCCCCCCCCCCCCCCCCCCCCCCCCCCCCCCCCCCCCCCCCCCCCCCCCCCCCCCCCCCCCCCCCCCCCCCCCCCCCCCCCCCCCCCCCCCCCCCCCCCCCCCCCCCCCCCCCCCCCCCCCCCCCCCCCCCCCCCCCCCCCCCCCCCCCCCCCCCCCCCCCCCCCCCCCCCCCCCCCCCCCCCCCCCCCCCCCCCCCCCCCCCCCCCCCCCCCCCCCCCCCCCCCCCCCCCCCCCCCCCCCCCCCCCCCCCCCCCCCCCCCCCCCCCCCCCCCCCCCCCCCCCCCCCCCCCCCCCCCCCCCCCCCCCCCCCCCCCCCCCCCCCCCCCCCCCCCCCCCAGCUCUGAAUCAGAGAAGGCACCUCUACCUGGGGGGUCAUUAACAUAUAAAAAGCCCUUCACACCUCACACCCACCCCUCCUCACAACCAGCUGUAAGGAUUCCUGGAAACUUCCACCAGUUCCUAUAUACAUCCACAUAUGUAAGGUUUCUGGAUGUUUCACGAGUUUACUUCUGUGUAUUACCUUUCCAAGCACUCUGCCUCAUUUAUCUGGCAAACCUACAGUUUAGCAGAGAUUUCCCACCCGGUAUUUGUCCGUAUACAGCUUUUUUCAUGCAGUGAUCCAUAUUCAAAUGUUUAUUCAAUCUCUACCAAAAAGAAUGUGUUUUCAUUAAUUUUGCCUGUUGAGGAAUGGUCUUGUUUUAUCCUGUUUUAGUCAUUUGCAGAAGCAAAAAAAGUCUUAAAUAUGAAUCAGAGGAAAUGUCUGGAGGACACCAAAUCCUUAAAAACUUUGUAAAAUCAACCUGAUGCUGUUGUUAAAUGUUGUAGCUCACUAUUUUUUAAUUUGGGUAUUCAAUCUGAGAUCCUAACUGUUUCAGACUUUACAAAGUGUUGUCUGUGAGAGUGCUUUUGAGACAGAACAGAGACAUUUAUAUGAGGAGGGUGGAAUAGAUUAUUUAAUAUAUGUCCACUAACAUGUCUUUUUGUGAGCAGCAUUGUGUUUUGUCUGUGAUAGAGUAUUAGAGUUUCUGAAAUGUAACCAUAAAGCAAUAAACUACUUUUAAUGAUUCAUCUGUCCCAGAGUUUCUGAUUUUUAUUUGGUGUUUAGAAAAAAAACAAAAAAGUCUUAAAACGUUUUUUUUUUUUUUAUUUCCACAGUUCUACUUUAAAUGUUGUCAAGUUGAUUAGGAAAACAAUAAUAAACUUGGAUUAUGUAGCCCACUUUAUUUGAUUUUUCCUUUUUUCUUUUUCUUUUUUGCCAUAUAGUGUCACCAAACGUAGACCGUUAAACAGGUCCAUUAGUUAACAUUAUUUAAUGCACUAACAUUAACCAACAAUUAACAAUGAAUUUGUUUGUUACAGUAUUUAUUCAUCUUUAUUAACAUUCACAUUAUUAAGAAUACAUGUGUCCCUUCCGCUCAGGUCCAUUACAGUUUGUUUACAAACGCUAUUAAAUUUUUUUUCAAUACUUCUAACAAUUUUUUCUAAACUCUUAACGCACCAACACACCUACAACACACAAUUGACAAAACAGUUAAUUUCAUGCUCAAAAUCACACAUGGCAAACUAAACUUCAACACUAAUUUUCAAAUUACAAUAAUACCCUAACACAAUACACUACAUCUACCAAAACACUGCAAACAUGUCUCAAAAUCAAAUUAUUAUUCCAAAACACUAACACAUGUUCUCUUUCAACAGGAACAUUUAGUCAAUCAUAGCACAGUGUCAUAAAAACACUAACAUCAAAUGGAUUUACAGAAACUGAGUUAUUUUAGGUGUCAGGUCUGACCUUAUACAAUAUCGACAGUAUAUUGCUUUGUUCGUAGAUUGUGUGUUACACUACAGUUUCUUUUUGGGUUUAGUAAAUGCAUGUAUUUUGUUUGUUUGUUUAUUUGGGGGGUCUGGGCUACAGAGACAGAAUUUCUGCAGUUAAAGGCUUUAUUUGCAACAGGACAUUAGAAAAAAACUAAAAAAACUAAAAGGAAAACAAGAAUGCAAGAAAACAAACAAAAAAUAUUUAUGUACAAUAAAGCUGUCAUUAAUAAUGUGAAAAUACAAAAUACACAGACAGAAAAAGCCACAGAAGAAUAAAAAAAUAGUUUUUUACAAUUGCUAUGACAAUUUUUUCAAUACUUUUAACAAUUUUCCUAAACUCUUAACACAGUUCAUUCAUUUCAAUCGCAUGACCAUAUGAUAUAAAGUGAAAGAGGACUUCUUUGGGCUGAUCUUUUGUGGAAAAGUAUUAUUCUUAAAUUCUGGAAUAGUACUUACUAAUUACAGUUAAAAAAAAAUUAAAAACAACAUGCUACAUGUAUUGUGUUACAGUUUUUUUAGCACAACAUCCUUCUGUGUAUGCUAUACAAUUAACACAUUUCUUGUUGUUUUUACACAAAAUGCAGUUAAAACAAAUUUUAAAUGCUUGAACUUUGUUAUGGUCUUGGUUGAGCUUGUGUGUAAACAAUGUAAUUUUGCUGCCAAAUUUUCAAAUGCUUUCACACUAUAUGUCAGAUCAGAUAACAUAAUUGUCUAAAACUAAAUUAUAGGCUAAAGUCAAAGUGAACAGCUGUUCAUAAUGUGAACUGAAACACAAAUAUGUCCCUGUAUUUUAUUCCAUUGCUAAUGAAAAAAAGCUGAUUGAAAUUAUGAAAAUAUAUAAUUCACAGUUUAUUCCCAUCUAGAACACCCACUCAGGUGUUGAGGUUCUUUCAAUCACAUGGCCAUAUGAUAUACAGUAAAAGAGGACAUCUUUGGGCUGAUUUUGUGUGGAAAAGUAUUAUUCUUAAAUUCUGGAAUAGUACUAUUCUAAAAAAAAAAAAAAAAAAAAAAGUGUUGGGUGUAAUGCGUUAUUAAUGCAGCGUGAAUGCAGCAUCUUUAACCCUCUGCACGCCAGCGCAUUCACUUUCAGUUUUUCCUGAUUCACAGAGAAACCUUAAAUACACAGAUACAGAUAAGACUAAAAUCAAGCGAAUCUAAAAAGGGCCUACCUUCAUUUGUGUACACUCACAAUAACAACAAAACCUUGUGCUUUUUGCAAAAUUAACAAAACAAACUGUUCAAUUUCUGCCAUCUAUUUCUCCAUGAGCAACUUUCUACACGUCACAAACUCAGCGAAUAUUUGGCACAGAGACAUGAGAAAUAUGUCUAUAGAAAGCUUGUGUCUACUUUUAAAUGAACAAAUUCAAAUCAAAAACGAAUAUUCUCUGAUUAUGUAAUCCGUAUGAAACUAAAGCGAGAUACAGUCUUUCUCGUAUCUGAGGUUUAAGUGUCUACUUUUAAAUGAACGAAUUCAAAUCGAAAAUGAAUAUUAUCUGAUUAUGUAAUCCGUAUGAAACAAAAGCGAGGCACAGGCUUUUCUCAUAUCUGAAAGCUUGAAGUGUCUACUUUUACAGUUUUUCUCAAUCGAUUUGGUACAUUUCUCCAAACUCAGGUAACAGCUCUCAAAACAGUUAACACAGGAAACUAAACACACUCUUAUGCUGGCGAAACCAUUAAGUAUUCACUGCACAAUGAAACACAGCAUUUUAUUCUAGUAAUGCAUUUAUUAAAAU
rnacentral:lncRNA from 12 species